CACUGAUCUUCCCAGAUUUCAGGGCCAUCGAAGAGCUUGAUGGAUGACGGUGGAAACAAAAUCCAAAAACCUGCAACACCAAGCAGAAGGAAAUGCUCUCAGAUCUACGCUUUCUGAAGUUGGACGCCAGCAACUGAAGCAUUCUGGCCUAGCUACCCAAGGUGCCAAACCUGAGCCUUGAUUGUUCCUCUUCAGACUCCAGGUCAGGAUGCACAUGACUGAGUACCCAUCUAUAAUAACAUAAAUACUAAGAAAGGCA